CGGGGUGUAGCGUAGUCCGGUCAUCGCGCCUGGUU
rnacentral:sRNA from 1 species